rnacentral:rRNA from 1 species
GCUCAGGACGAACGCUGGCGGCGCGCUUCAUCCAUGCAAGUCGAACGAACCCGAGACUUCGGUCUCAAUGGGAAAGUGGCGAACGGGUGAGUAACACGUGAGAAACCUACCCCGGAGAUGGGAAUAGCCCAGGGAAACCUGGAUUAAUACCCAAUACCCUGCCUGCACCUCAUGGUGUGUUCAGGAAACGCUCCGGUGCUCCGGGAGGGUCUCGCGGCCUAUCAGCUUGUUGGUGAGGUAACGGCUCACCAAGGCAUCGACGGGUAGCUGGUCUGAGAGGACGAUCAGCCACACUGGGACUGAGACACGGCCCAGACUCCUACGGGAGGCAGCAGGAGGGAAUAUUGCGCAAUGGGCGAAAGCCUGACGCAGCGACGCCGCGUGGGGGAAGAAGGCCUUCGGGUCGUAAACCCCUUUCAGCAGGGACGAAAUUGACGGUACCUGCAGAAGAAGCGCCGGCCAACUACGUGCCAGCAGCCGCGGUAAUACGUAGGGCGCAAGCGUUGUCCGGAUUCAUUGGGCGUAAAGGGCUCGUAGGCGGUUUGGUAAGUCGGGUGUGAAAACUCAGGGCUCAACUCUGAGACGCCACUCGAUACUGCCAUGACUAGAGUCCGGGUAGGGGAGUGUAGAAUUCCUGGUGUAGCGGUGAAAUGCGCAGAUAUCAGGGAGGAAUACCGAUAGCGAAGGCAGCACUCUGGGCCGGUACUGACGCUGA